rnacentral:rRNA from 1 species
AGUGAACGCUGGCGGCAGGCCUAACACAUGCAAGUCGAACGGCAGCACAGUAAGAGCUUGCUCUUACGGGUGGCGAGUGGCGGACGGGUGAGGAAUACAUCGGAAUCUACUUUUUCGUGGGGGAUAACGUAGGGAAACUUACGCUAAUACCGCAUAUGACCUACGGGUGAAAGCAGGGGAUCUUCGGACCUUGCGCGAUUGAAUGAGCCGAUGUCGGAUUAGCUAGUUGGCGGGGUAAAGGCCCACCAAGGCGACGAUCCGUAGCUGGUCUGAGAGGCUGAUCGGCCACACUGGAACUGAGACACGGUCCAGACUCCUACGGGAGGCAGCAGUGGGGAAUCUUGGACAAUGGGCGCAAGCCUGAUCCAGCCAUCCCGCGUGGGUGAAGAAGGCCUUCGGGUUGUAAAGCCCUUUUGUUGGGAAAGAAAAGCAGCAGGUUAAUACCCCGCUGUUCUGACGGUACCCAAAGAAUAAGCACCGGCUAACUUCGUG